GGGUUAGUAGGUUGGUCGUGCCACUGGUAUGAACUGGUUUUACUGAUUCCUCCCUCUUGGAGAAUUGUAAUGCCAUUAAUUUGGUGUUUUGGGGAAUUUGGACUGUUACUUUGAAAAAAUUAGAGUGUUUAAAGCAAGCUAACGCUUGAAUACAUUAGCAUGGAAUAAUGAAAUAGGACGUUCGAUCCUAUUUUGUUGGUUUCUAGGAUUGACGUA
rnacentral:rRNA from 1 species